AUCAGGACAGGCGCGGGUUCUGUGAGUCCAAGCACAGGAAACACCGCACACUCAGUCACUCCUGAGCUUCCAAGCCUGCUUCUGUGGGAGUGGAAAGACUGAGGCCAAGAGUAAGCUGUGGCCUUGUAGACAGUCUCCAUUCGGCCUCCAUCCCUGCCAGCACAGCAGAGGUACCAAACCCCUGUAGGUCAUGGUUGCCAGAAGUGCCUGUGACAGAAGAGACCAAAGCAAAGCAUGGCUUUUCACAUGGCAGAAGACAGCCCAGCAUCUGAACAACUCUUCCAUUCAGAUUCCCAAGGUGCUACAUAUCCACAGCCAAUGGGAAGGAGACGCUCUACGUAGUGUUUGUUCUCUCUACGCGGUAAUUUUACCAUGCCCAGAGGAGCGGAGAUGCACAGGGGAAUUACAGGGCGCUUGCCCACGGUUCCUGAUGGAACUUAGGUUUUUCUUACCCUGAGAUCUAAAUCAAGACAAGAGGACAAAGAAGCCCAGGCCCCACGGCCACAGCAUUACUGCCAACCCUCUCUGAAGUUACCAUGGCUAAAAACUGGAAUCCCUACUGGCUUCUCUCUUUAAAACACAACUUUUACUAAAUGUGGUGAGUUGCUGACUGUUAAGACAAUGGGCCUGUCCAAGAAACUUGUUUAGGAAUCAAGGGGAGAAAGACAUUGAGGGGCCCAAGAACAGAUGAAUUGCUCCCGAGAAUGGGAAACAAAUGAGCCGAGGUAUAAAUGGAUGAAAAACAAAAGGAAGAGAUUCCUGGAACAAUGUGGACUAUUGAAGGGAGAGCUGCAGGGACAGAGACCCAGGUCGUGGGACCAGCUGGGGAGUGGUGGGACAGGGGAGCUGAGCUGUCAGCUUACAGCUCAGGCUAAGGCUCUUCUCCCCAGCAACCCUGUGUUCCCGUUUUUCUUGCCGCCAUUAUCUGGUCUGCUGCAGUUUUGUGGUUGUAAAAAGGAGCAGGGAGGGAGAUACACUAGAUGGGUUUCAGAUCCACCCGCUCCCUCUCCAACACUGGCUGGGUCAGCUGUGCACAAUCUACAGCGGCCAUUCCUUUCUUUUUGAGAACUGCCUGCAGAGAAAGGCUUUUGGGUAAUUUCAGUGUAACAUACAGGCCUCUGAGUAACUCCAUCUCAUUGUUCCCUGUAGAUAAUGGGGGUGUUCAGGAGCACAAUAAUGGACCCCGGGGAAUCUCCCUUACCCCAAGUGGAAUUAAGGUAUCUCCUUCUCUCUAGAACACACAAUUACCUUGUCUUCAGGGUACAUCCACUAGGAGUUUUGUCUAGCUGAAGUCCAAUGAUGAUGAUGAUGGUGGUGGUGGUGAUGAUGAUGAUUUUGUGGAGCACGGACUCUUUUUGACUUAUGAUAGAGCUCUGCCCUGUAAAUUUAUUGUAAGCUGAAGACAUUUUGAAGUUGAAAACAUACUGAACAUAUCCAACCAGUGGAACAUCAUGGUUUAGUAACACAGGACACUAGGGUAGCAUGUAUCCCCUUGUGAUCACAUGACCAGGACCCACAUGUAUGUUGUGCCUAGCAUGAUGAAAGAAUAUCUUAUUGCCUAUCACUAGCAGCAGGGAAGCAGGGAGGUCCAAAAGCAAAAUUCAAACUAUGGGCUCUAUGGGAUGUCUAUGGCUUGCACACCAUUGUAGAGUUGAAACCUUGCAAGACCAACCACUGUGAGUCUCAGAUGGUAGAGGGCCAUCUCUGGUGACCAAGACCAUUAGUGAUAUUUGCAUGGGGAGUGGACAGUUUUUGUUCCCUACCUCUCCAGGGCCUGAGUCAGUCCAAUCUGUGAGCUUUCCUCUUAUGUGGCUGCAGUUCUGGGUUUCUCAUUCAGAAGCCAUCAUAGUUAAGUCUUAGACUCCUUGGGAAGAUAGGGCCACACCUUCCACUGAGGCUCAGCAUCGCUGCCUCCGGGAUGGAAGACACCAAGACAAGUUCUGAUCCUAGCCGAUUACCUCACAUGAAGGAAUGAGGCCCCGAGAGGAGACAAAUGGCCAGCCUAUGACCACACAGGUCAUAUCAGAGAGUCGAUUAGGGCCAAGGUCUCCCUUACAGAACCCAUGCAACUGUUUGGUAACAGAACCAAAGUCAAGGUCACUGGUUUCAACCUGGGCUCUGUAAUAAGGACAGAAACACGUGGCUCCCUCUUCAGUAGAUGCAUGUUCCCCACAUUUCUUCCUUUCUCAUAGGGACAGGACGAGGGGGUGGAGAGUCUUUGGAGCAUUAGAGGAAAAAAUUCCAAGGUCAGAGACAAUGUGUCAGAGGAUCGGACUGUGUCAUCUGGCUGUUACUGCAUCUGUAGGCAGUGGAGAUGCCUACAACGGAGAGCCUCUUUCUUUUCUCCUUCAUGGGGCUAAUGUUCUCCCAGGGGACAGAAUGAGCUUCUUCACAGGUUCCCUAUAUCAGGGCUGAGUCUCCAGCAGACGCUGCCACCAGGUGCAUUUAUUCUCACGGAUCCUCUUGGGCAUUAGCAUUCCUUCUUUUCAGAGAAAGCCACUGAGGUCCAGAGGGGCACUCACUCAAGGUCACCUCACCAGGAAGGGGCAUCGUCGACUCUAACCCACAGGUGCUCUGGCAGUCACUCUUCUGCCUCAGAUGUGAAGGGACUGCAAAGCCAGGCAAGGGUCAGGGAGCCUGAAGGACAGAGUCCUAGAGGUCCCAGAUAUGUCGUAUGGCAUCCCGAGGGCACCUGCUAUAGGACCCAGCUUCCCUUUAACCUUGGCCUGCUCCCCAGCACACCUCUCAGCUCUCCUUAGCAUCAUUCCUCAUUUUCACUUAUUUCCCCAGUUCAAACCUCAAAGUCACUCUUGGGAGAAAACAUCUUUUUGCUCUAUCCUAAUGGGUUGGGUUUAGUUCAGCAUACUUAUUAUUCUAGCUUGUCCCCGAGCAAGCGUGCCCAGGGUCUUUACAACACACGCACGCACACACUCCAAAAUGCAUGUCUGCACUUGAAAAGAAGAAAAUGUAGCAGCAGCUUUGGGAGCGAGUUUGACUAAUUUCUUCUCCACUUGAGAAGCAUCGAGAAGUUUCUUCAAAGCUAGAGAAUGAGAAACUACAGUUUUGGAAACCUGGAAAUGCAGAGAUAUGAGGACAUGAAACAGCAUGGGGAGGGGAGCUGGUAUCCUAGAAUGUCAGAGAAGUCUGAGCAAAGGAGGAUGCUUGGAGUGUGAGGCCAGAGAAAGGUAGCAAAUAUUCCAUCUCCCAAGGUAAAUUGAGGAUUGUGGCUGUGAGUAUAGAGAAGAUGGGCUGGGGUGUAAAUGUUAUAUCAUGGUGGCUACAGAGGGACUGUCUCAGCAACAGGUCACAAGCCAGGACACCUGCACCCCCCACCUCCCAUGCCAUCUCACCGUGUAGCCCUAGUUGGCCAGUACUUGCUAGGCAAUCCAGGCUGGCCUUGAGUUUUCAGCAGUCCUCCAGCCUCAGCCCCCCUCCCCCCCCCCAGCAGUGGGAUUACAGGCAUGUGCCGCCAAACCUGAAUAAACUUUUCACUUUAUUUUGUAAUUUAAUACCUAUAUGCCUUUAUGAUAUAACAAAAUAAAUCAAUAUUCAUACACAAUGUGUAGUAGUCAAAUCAGGGUAAAAUAAGGAUUUCUGUCUUCUCAAAUAGUAUUUCUAUUUGCUGGAAAACAUUGCUUGCUCUCUUUUUUAGAUUUAUUUAUUUUUAUGUGUAUAUGGGAGUUUUGCCUGCAUGUAUGUUUGCCCACCAUGAGUCCCAUGGAAGCCAGAACUGGACAAGAAUUAUGGAUACUUGUGAGCCAGCAUAUGUGUUCUGGGAACCAACUGUAUCUUCUGCAAAGACAAGUGUUCUUAGCUGCUUAGCCAUCUCUCCAGUCCCUUCUCUUUUACUCUGAAACACUGUUGUAGACUGUGGUUAGCCAACUCUACAGUAGAACACCAGAACUUUUAAGUCUUUGUACCCAGCUCUGUUUUGUUGGCCUAUAAACUGAUUUCUUUCAGUUCCCAUGUGAUUCUGUACCUUUCCACUUUUUUAGUAACUGCUAUCCCACUCUCUUGCUUAAGAUCAAUAUUAAAUCACUACAAACAAACAAAUAAGAACAUGAAGUAAGUCUCUCUGUGGCUGCCUAGUUUCACUUGUCCAUCAGUCCUUUCAUCUUUGGUGUAAGUGACAGGACUUCAGUUUUUUAUGGCUCAGUAACAGUGUUAGGCACAUAUGUCUUACUUUCUUCAUUCAUUCACACUUUGAUGGGCAGCUUGGUUGGUACCAGAUCUUGGCUACUGGGAAUGGUGCUGUGCUUAGCAUAAGAGCACAGGUGUCUCCUUCAUGUAAGAGUUAAUUUCUUUGCAUAAAUACUUGGUUGUGAGAGUGCCAGUUCGUAGGGGAGUUCAAGGGUUCUCGACCUUCCUAAUACUGUGAGCCUUUUAAUACAGUUCCU